UACGUAGGGUGCAAGCGUUUGUCCGGAAUUAUUGGGCGUAAAGAGCUCGUAGGCGGUUUGUCGCGUCCGCUGUGAAAACUCAGGGCUUAACCCUGAGCCUGCAGUGGGUAGCGGGCAGGACUAGAGUGUGGUAGGGGAGAUCGGAAUUCCUGGUGUAGCGGUGGAAUGCGCAGAUAUCAGGAGGAACACCGGUGGCGAAGGCGGAUCUCUGGGCCAUAACUGACGCUGAGGAGCGAAAGCAUGGGGAGCGAACAGG
rnacentral:rRNA from 1 species